rnacentral:rRNA from 1 species
CUCAACUUGGGUGCUGCAUUCCAAACUGGAUAUCUAGAGUGCAGGAGAGGAAAGUGGAAUUCCUAGUGUAGCAGUGAAAUGCGUAGAUAUUAGGAGGAACACCAGUGGCGAAGGCGACUUUCUGGACUGUAACUGACACUGAGGCAUGAAAGCGUGGGGAGCAAACAGGAUUAGAUACCCUGGUAGUCCACGCCGUAAACGAUGGGUACUAGGUGUGGGAGUUGUCAUGACUUCCGUGCCGUCGUUAACACAGUAAGUACCCCGCCUGGGGAGUACGAUCGCAAGAUUAAAACUCAAAGGAAUUGGCGGGGGCCCGCACAAGCAGCGGAGCAUGUGGUUUAAUUCGAAGCAACGCGAAGAACCUUACCUAGACUUGACAUCUCCUGAAUUACCCGUAAUGGGGGAAGCUCUUCGGAGCAG